GGUGUUUGGCUCGCCAGAUAUAGUCUGGUCCGUAAGCAAAUCGACUGCCUGCCUGUGUAACAGGCAGGUAAGCUUUUGUCGCGGGGUCCCGGAUCAACCCGGGCUAGAUAGCCACUUAACUAUAUACUUUUUAUAAAAUCUGUGAACUUACUAGGUUGGAUUCUCGCCAGAGAUAGUCUGGUUUCUGCUUCGCGGAUCGCCUACCCGUGACACCUGUCACAGGCAGGUAUGCUUCUGCCGCGGGUCCGUAAGUAAAUCAUCUGUUUCGCAAGGGACGGCGAUUUACCUGUGGAAGAGGUCCUCUAACUAUAUUCUUAGUAUAGUUUGUUCACUAGAUCAAACAUUCUGAAUAAAAACUUAAACUAGUUAAAACUUUCAACAACGGAUCUCUUGGUUCUGGCAUCGAUGAAGAACGCAGCGAAAUGCGAUAAGUAAUGUGAAUUGCAGAAUUCAGUGAAUCAUCGAAUCUUUGAACGCACAUUGCGCCCAUUAGUAUUCUAGUGGGCAUGCCUGUUCGAGCGUCAUUUCAACCCUUAAGCCCCUGUUGCUUAGCGUUGGGAGCCUACAGCCUGCUGUAGCUCCUUAAAGGUAGUGGCGGAGUCGGUUCACACUCUAGACGUAGUAAAAUCUUUAUCUCGCCUAUGGAUGAGCCGGCGCCUUGCCGUAAAACCCCUAAUCUUUCACAAGGUUGACCUCGGAUCAGGUAGGAAUACCCGCUGAACUUAAGCAUAUCAAUAAGCGGAGGAAAAGAAACCAACAGGGAUUGCCCUAGUAACGGCGAGUGAAGCGGCAACAGCUCAAAUUUGAAAUCUGGCCUUCGGGUCCGAGUUGUAAUUUGCAGAGGAUGCUUUGGGCGCGGUGCCUUCCGAGUUCCCUGGAACGGGACGCCUUAGAGGGUGAGAGCCCCGUACGGUUGGACACCAAGCCUCUGUAAAGCUCCUUCGACGAGUCGAGUAGUUUGGGAAUGCUGCUCUAAAUGGGAGGUAAAUUUCUUCUAAAGCUAAAUAUUGGCCAGAGACCGAUAGCGCACAAGUAGAGUGAUCGAAAGAUGAAAAGCACUUUGAAAAGAGGGUUAAAUAGCACGUGAAAUUGUUGAAAGGGAAGCGUUUACGACCAGACCUUUUCGCAGCGGAUCAUCCGGUGUUCUCACCGGUGCACUUCGCUGGGUUGAGGCCAGCAUCGGUUUCCGCAGGGGGAUAAAAGCCUGGGGAACGUAGCUCCCUCGGGAGUGUUAUAGCCCCUCGCAUAAUACCCUUGCGGGGACCGAGGACCGCGCU
rnacentral:rRNA from 1 species